UACGUAGGGGGCAAGCGUUGUCCGGAAUCAUUGGGCGUAAAGCGCGCGUAGGCGGCCCUGUAAGUCCGCUGUGAAAGUCAAAGGCUCAACCUUUGAAAGCCGGUGGAUACUGCAGGGCUAGAGUCCGGAAGAGGCGAGUGGAAUUCCUGGUGUAGCGGUGGAAUGCGCAGAUAUCAGGAGGAACACCGAUGGCGAAGGCAGCUCGCUGGACGGUGACUGACGCUGAGGCGCGAAAGCGUGGGGAGCGAACAGG
rnacentral:rRNA from 1 species